rnacentral:rRNA from 1 species
UACCUGGUUGAUACUGCCAGUAGUCAUAUGCUUGUCUCAAAGAUUAAGCCAUGCAUGUCUAAGUAUGAACUAAUUCAGACUGUGAAACUGCGGAUGGCUCAUUAAAUCAGUUAUAGUUUCUUUGAUGGUACCCUACUACUCAGAUAACCGUAGUAAUUCUAGAGCUAAUAUGUGCACCAUGUCCCGACUCUUUGGAAGGGAUGCAUUUAUUAGAUAAAAGGUCGGUGCGGGCUUGCCCGCUUCUCUGGUGAAUCAUGAUAACUCGACGGAUCACACAGCCCUUGUGCUGGCGAUGCUUCAUUCAAAUUUCUUCCCUAUCAACUUUUGAUGGUAGGAUAGAGGCCUACCAUGGUGGUGAUAGGUGACAGAGAAUUAGGGUUCGAUUCCGGAGAGGGGGCCUGAGAAACAACUACCACAUCCAAGGAAGGCAGCAGGCAUACAAAUUACCCAAUCCUAACAUGGGGAGGUAGUGACAAUAAAUAACAAUACUGGGCUCAUCAAGUCUGGUAAUUGGAAUGAGUACAAUCUAAAUCCAUUAACGAGGAUCCAUUGGAGGGAAAUUCUGGUGCUAGUAGUCGCGGUAAUUCCAGCUCCAAUAGCGUAUAUUUAAGUUGUUACAAUUAAAAAUCUUGUAGUUGGAUCUUGGGUCGUAAAGGUCGGUCCGCCUACUCGGUGUGCACCUGCCCUUCCGUCCCUUUUUCCGACGGCAUGCUCCUAGCCUUAAUUGGCUAGGUCGCGGUUCCGACAUUGUUACUUUGAAAAAAUUAGAGUGCUCAAAGCAAGCUUAUGCUCUGAAUACAUUAGCAUGGAAUAACGCGAUAGGAGUCUGGUCCUAUUGUGUUUGCCUUCAGGACCGGAGUAAUGAUUAAUAGGGACUGUCGGGGGCAUUCGUAUUUCAUUGUCAGAGGUGAAUUUCUUGGAUUUAUGAAAGACAAACCACUGCGAAAGCAUUCGCCAAGGAUUUUUUCAUUAAUCAAGAAUGAAAGUUGGGGGCUCCAAGACGAUCAGAUACUGUCCUAGUCUCAACCAUAAACGAUGCCAACCAGGGAUCAACGAAUGUUUCUCUAAGGACUCUGCCAGCACCUUCUGAGAAAUCAGAGUGUUUGGGUUCCAGGGGGAGUAUGGUCGCAAGGAUGAAACUUAAAGGAAUUGACGGAAGGGCACCACUAGGAGUGGAGCCUGCGGCUUAAUUUGACUCAACAUGGGAAAACUUACCAGGUCCAGACAUAGUAAGGAUUGACAGAUUGAGAGCUCUUUCUUGAUUCUAUGGGUGGUGGUGCAUGGCCAUUCUUAGUUGGUGGAGAGAUUUGUCUGGUUAAUUCCGAUAACGAACGAGACCUCAACCUACUAAAUAGCUACGCAGAGGAUCCCCUUCGCGGCCAACUUCUUAGAGGGACUAUGGCCAUUUAGGCCAUGGAAGUUUGAGGCAAUAACAGGUCUAUGAUGCCCUUAGAUGUUCUGGGAUGCACGCGCACUACACUAAUGCAGUCAAUGAGUUUUUCUCUCUGGUUCGAGAGGAUCGGGAAAUCUUCUCAAAUUGCAUCAUGAUGGGGAUAGACCAUUGAAAUUAUUGGUCUUCAACAAGGAAUUCCUAGUAAGCACAUGUCAUCAGCUCGUGUUUACUACGUCCCUGUCCUUUGUACACACCGCCCGUCGCUCCUACCAAUUGAAUGAUCUGGUGAAGUGUUUGGAUCAUGUCAACGAGGGUGGUUCGCCACCAACGAUGUCGUGAGAAGUUCACUGAACCUUAUCAUUUAGAGGAAGGAGAAGUCGUAACAAGGUUACUGUAGGUGAACCUGCGGUAGGAUCAUUG